rnacentral:piRNA from 1 species
CACAACUUCAUCAGUGAAUUUCCCCAUUGA